rnacentral:lncRNA from 1 species
GGGAUCGGCCGAUUGGAAGGUUGGAGCAGCUGGGCCAAUAUGGGCUUAAGGUGGGCAAGAAAGGAAGAUAGAGAAAGAUUGGCCCGUGGGAAUAUGGUAACCAACUCCGAUAUGAGUUGUGCUUGUAAAUAUUUAUUUUCGUUUAAGAUUAGAGAUAGACCCUGGUCGGUUAGGAAAUCAGUUGUAAUAGGCUAUAAAUAGCCAUCUCUAGAGAUUUGUAAAACAACACAUCAAUCAAUACAAACAAUCUAUUUUUUCAUCGUACUUUACUUUCAAGUCGGUGACUUCGCCAAUACUUCUUUUUCUUUCACGAGUUCGUACGGGUUGGCAGGGCUGCAUCGAC